GUUAGCUCUGUACCCACUACCCAGACACUAUCACAUCAGGUUAGGGUUAGCUCUGUACCCACUACCCAGACACUAUCACAUCAGGUUAGGGUUAGGUCUGUACCCACUACCCAGGCACUAUCACAUCAGGUUAGGGUUAGCUCUGUACCCACUACCCAGGCACUAUCACAUCAGGUUAGGGUUAGCUCUGUACCCACUACCCAGACACUAUCACAUCAGGUUAGGGUUAGGUCUGUACCCACUACCCAGGCACUAUCACAUCAGGUUAGGGUUAGCUCUGUACCCACUACCCAGGCACUAUCACAUCAGGUUAGGGUUAGCUCUGUACCCACUACCCAGGCACUAUCACAUCAGGUUAGGGUUAGGUCUGUACCCACUACCCAGGCACUAUCACAUCAGGUUAGGGUUAGGUCUGUACCCACUACCCAGGCACUAUCACAUCAGGUUAGGGUUAGCUCUGUACCCACUACCCAGACACUAUCACAUCAGGUUAGGGUUAGGUCUGUACCCACUACCCAGGCACUAUCACAUCAGGUUAGGGUUAGGUCUGUACCCACUACCCAGGCACUAUCACAUCAGGUUACGGUUAGGUCUGUACCCACUACCCAGGCACUAUCACAUCAGGUUAGGGUUAGCUCUGUACCCACUACCCAGGCACUAUCACAUCAGGUUAGGGUUAGGUCUGUACCCACUACCCAGACACUAUCACAUCAGGUUAGGGUUAGCUCUGUACCCACUACCCAGGCACUAUCACAUCAGGUUAGGGUUAGGUCUGUACCCACUACCCAGGCACUAUCACAUCAGGUUACGGUUAGGUCUGUACCCACUACCCAGGCACUAUCACAUCAGGUUAG